rnacentral:rRNA from 1 species
UUGAACAGUAACUUAAAACUAUACAUCGGUUCUCGUCCGAUCACCGAAAUUAAGCAGCGUCGGGCGCGGUUAGUACUUAGAUGGGGGACCGCUUGGGAACACCGCGUGUUGUUGGCC